GUGUUAACUUGCAUCCUAAACAAAAGUUAUACUAUAAAUAAAAUUUCUUACAUAGGAAGAAAGUUUAUUGCACUUAUUGUAUGUUCUUCUUCAUCAGAUCAAAGGAAUAAUUCGAGUGAGGCUGUGGAAGAGCUGAGAUAUCGCUGCUCUCUUAAGAUUGCUCUGGAUAUUUUGAAUCAAAAUAUCUCCCCCAGGGAAGUGCCACCUUCAGAAGGACUGAAAUCCCAGUUAUCCCGGGAGAACAACGCGGGAUCUCUCUCAUCUACACCCUUACAGAGAUGUCGAUUGCUCUGUCGCUCUAAAGAAGAGUCAGUGCCUGAGACUUCCAAGAAGAAAAGAGAACAGAAAAAUGCCAGCCUGAAGACUGAUGCAAAACCCCAAACCCAGGACGCUUCCUUCCUCCUGGAGGAGGGUGCUAAAGCGCAUGAAAGAGGAACCAACACUACCACAUGUAAUACGUCAGACUCAGACAAUCAAAACUGCAAAAUACCAGAAUCAAAACCCCUCCCAAGGCUGAAGAAAAUCAAGCCCGUAUCGUUGACAAAGUUCCAAACAGGAAAUAAAGAUCCCCUUACGCCAAAGGAGGAAAAAAGUGAGCAAGGAAGGAAAAGCCGAAGAGACGCGGUGUCAGCUCUGUCGCGAAUGAACCGUUUCCCUGGGGAUGAAGCCCAGCCCCGGGCUGAGGAGGGAUCUCCGCUGCCCGUCCCCUGCGAGGCUGGUACGGAGGUGCCUCUCAAAAGGGCCAACACCAGGAAUCAGCCCAGAAGGACGCUACUGGCUUCCUCUUGUAAAAGUGCCUCAGAUAACUUGGAAAAAAGCAUCAGUAGCGAGAGCGAAAGUCUAGCGAAGCAGCUGGGCAGAAGAAAACAGCCAGCUGGCUUGAAACGGGUUAACAGGGAACAAGAGACUCUGUCCUCCUACAGAAAAAGGAGGUGCAGGAAUUGUCCUGAAUCUUCAUCUGGGCCCUCUAACCGUGAGCUGCUUUCUGAGAGCGUCACCUCCCAGCGUGAGGAGCAGGAAAAUAAGAACAUUUUGCACCCGGUUAUGGAUAAAGUAACUGCCUUUCAGCUGCCUGACUUCGAGGAAGAUGAAGGUGGGCAUAGCGCCUGGGGGUGGGAGAACUUCAUCCCCUUUGGUGGUCAGGCACGGUUAUUCACCUUGGGGUGUUGCAUUGCUUUUGCGUAUGAGGUUCUUAAAUUGCUGAUUUUAAUUCUGUUUCUUUAA
rnacentral:lncRNA from 1 species